GACGGAGGGUGCAAGCGUUGUUCGGAAUUACUGGGCGUAAAGGACGCGUAGGCGGUCUGUUAAGUUCGGUGUGAAAGCCCCCGGCUCACCUGGGGAACUGCGCCGGAAACCGACAGACUCGAGUACCGGAGAGGAGGGUGGAAUUCCUGGUGUAGCGGUGAAAUGCGUAGAUAUCAGGAGGAACACCGGUGGCGAAGGCGGCCCUCUGGACGGAUACUGACGCUGAGGCGCGAAAGCGUGGGGAUCAAACAGG
rnacentral:rRNA from 1 species